rnacentral:lncRNA from 1 species
CAACAGCUUCAGGGCCUGCCCUGGCCCCGGUGGGUAACGCCCGCCUGCCCGCCAGCCAUUGUCCGGUCAUACCAGGAAGGUUGCUUAGACCAGGAAGUUACUUCUCUGCUUCCAUUACUGUGUAAUGUAGCCAACACCAGCGGCUCUGCUGAUGGGCAACCAGGAGGACGUCUGGAGGCAGCGGAUCCACCGAUGACUAUGGAGAGGUAAUUUCUUUGUGAAAUGGGAGGAAUAGCAGGAGAACACUAGUGUGCUUUCUCUUUCUCUCCUGCACUUUGAAUUUGCUGUCGUACCCCCGACGGCACCGAGGUGCCCGUCUGCCUCACGCUUGUGCCACUGUGGCAACUAAUGGGGGAUUUGUUGACGAUUAAAAAGCUAAUGUCAAGGGAAAUAAAAAAACUAAUACUCAGAUUCUGGCA